GCGUUUAGUUUUCUUAGCUGGUUGUUUUAUUUAAAAUCAGCUUUUGUCAAACAGAACGUAGACUAUAAACCAGGCAGCUAAUCACUCCAUAAUGUGUAUCCUACCGUGCAUAGGGAUUCUGCAUUACUAAAUGCUUGUCACAUGU